rnacentral:rRNA from 1 species
AGUGAACGCUGGCGGUAGGCCUAACACAUGCAAGUCGAACGGCAGCACAGUAAGAGCUUGCUCUUACGGGUGGCGAGUGGCGGACGGGUGAGGAAUACAUCGGAAUCUACUUUUUCGUGGGGGAUAACGUAGGGAAACUUACGCUAAUACCGCAUACGACCUACGGGUGAAAGCAGGGGAUCUUCGGACCUUGCGCGAUUGAAUGAGCCGAUGUCGGAUUAGCUAGUUGGCGGGGUAAAGGCCCACCAAGGCGACGAUCCGUAGCUGGUCUGAGAGGAUGAUCGGCCACACGGGAACUGAGACACGGUCCAGACUCCUACGGGAGGCAGCAGUGGGGAAUAUUGGGCAAUGGGCGCAAGCCUGGUCCAGCCGUACCGCGUGGGUGAAGAAGGCCUUCGGGUUGUAAAGCCGUUUUGUUGGGAAAGAAAAGCAGCAGGUUAAUACCCCGCUGUUCUGACGGUACCCAAAGAAUAAGCACCGGCUAACUUCGUG